rnacentral:rRNA from 1 species
UGGGGAAUAUUGGGCAAUGGGGGAAACCCUGACCCAGCAACGCCGCGUGAAGGAAGAAGGCCUUCGGGUUGGUAAACAUUCUUUUAUCCACGGGAGCGAAGGACGUGACGGUACCUGGAGAAAAAGCAACGGCUAACUACGUGCCAGCAGCCGCGGUAAUACGUAGGUUGCGAGCGUUGUCCGGAUUUACUGGGUGUAAAGGGCGUGUAGGCGGAGAAGCAAGUUGGGAGUGAAAUCUAUGGGCUCAACCCAUAAACUGCUCUCAAAACUGUUUCCCCUUGAGUAUCGGAGAGGCAAGCGGAAUUCCUAGUGUAGCGGUGAAAUGCGUAGAUAUUAGGAGGAACACCAGUGGCGAAGGCGGCUUGCUGGACGACAACUGACGCUGAGGCGCGAAAGCGUGGGGAGCAAACAGGAUUAGAUACC